GGCUUGAUGAUAUUAAUUUUAAGUCGAUCUGCCCAAUGAUAUAAAUAUUUAUUUAAUGGCUGCAGUAUAACUGACUGUACAAAGGUAGCAUAAUCGAUUGUUUUUUAAUUGGAAACUGGUAUGAAAGAAUUAAUGAGAUAUAUACUGUCUCAUAUAUAUUUAAUAAAUUUAAAUUUUUAGUGAAAAUGCUGAAAUGUAUUUAUGGGACGAUAAGACCCUAUAGAAUUUUAUAUUAAUAUAUAGAUAAGAUAAAUUUUUAUAUAUUUUUAUUUAGUUGGGAGGAUUGGUAGAUUUGAAUAACUUUAUUUUGAAUUAAAACUUUGAUUUGAGAAUAAGAUAAAUAAUGAUCUUGUAUUAUAAAUAAGAAGAGUAAAUUACCUUAGGGAUAACAGCGUAAUAUCUUUGGAAAGAUCGAAUUGAUAAAGGUGAUUGCGACCUCGAUGUUGAAUUAAGAUUAAUUUUAAAUGUAGAAGUUUAAUGAUUAAGUCUGUUCGACUUUUAAAAUCUC
rnacentral:rRNA from 1 species